CAGUCGCCGCGGGAAUACAGAGGGUGCAAGCGUUAAUCGGAAUUACUGGGCGUAAAGCGCGCGUAGGUGGUUUGUUAAGUUGGAUGUGAAAGCCCCGGGCUCAACCUGGGAACUGCAUCCAAAACUGGCAAGCUAGAGUACGGUAGAGGGUGGUGGAAUUUCCUGUGUAGCGGUGAAAUGCGUAGAUAUAGGAAGGAACACCAGUGGCGAAGGCGACCACCUGGACUGAUACUGACACUGAGGUGCGAAAGCGUGGGGAGCAAACAGGAUUAGAUACCCCCGUAGUCCCUGUCUCUUAUAA
rnacentral:rRNA from 1 species